rnacentral:misc_RNA from 1 species
UGAGUUGUUCCGGACUUGCUUGCGAAGCGGGCUCCCCGCAUUUUUGUGCGGCCAACUGUUUCGGUGCUCGUCUCCUGACCGUCCCGUGCGAUGCGCAUGUUUGGCUUGGGCGGUGUCAUUAUUGGGUUGGUGCCUGUGUUGCUACUACUUUCGGAACAAAUAUGAGUGUUUUGUGACAACGGCCUGUCAAUGUUACCUUCGGUUAUGAUUUUGAGAAAUUUGCGUGGGCUAAUAUUGAAAUGUCGGCUUUGUUCGGGAGCGAUUGAUGAUGGGUCUUGACCUGUCCGCAGCGCGCAUCGUAUUAUAUGAGCCGCUCUUUUGGAUACGGUGGGCUAUGUGGGUUCUUGCGGUCCUGUCCGGUCUGCUUGUGACCUCGUAGAACACCACUAACAGUUCAUCGUGCGGUUGGAUCUUGCGCUGUGUCCUUGCGUUCCUGUUUUUGCUCUCAUGCCGGAGCAAAGGCGGGGCGUGGGGAUGCGGAUGCUGGCUUUCGGGCGCGUGGCUGUAUGUGUGGGAGUUCUAUGAUAUAUAUCAGUGAUUGCCGUUGCGUUCGUGCGCAUUGGCACUCCGUCGUGGAGUGCCCCAGCAGCUCGCAGGCUCACUUUUUUGACAUGCUACCUGGUUGAUCCUGCCAGUAGUCA